rnacentral:rRNA from 1 species
CCUAACACAUGCAAGUCGAACGGUAACAGGAAGAAGCUUGCUUCUUUGCUGACGAGUGGCGGACGGGUGAGUAAUGUCUGGGAAACUGCCUGAUGGAGGGGGAUAACUACUGGAAACGGUAGCUAAUACCGCAUAACGUCGCAAGACCAAAGAGGGGGACCUUCGGGCCUCUUGCCAUCGGAUGUGCCCAGAUGGGAUUAGCUAGUAGGUGGGGUAACGGCUCACCUAGGCGACGAUCCCUAGCUGGUCUGAGAGGAUGACCAGCCACACUGGAACUGAGACACGGUCCAGACUCCUACGGGAGGCAGCGGUGGGGAAUAUUGCACAAUGGGCGCAAGCCUGGAUGCAGCCAUGCCGCGUGUAUGAAGAAGGCCUUCGGGUUGUAAAGUACUUUCAGCGGGGAGGAAGGGAGUAAAGUUAAUACCUUUGCUCAUUGACGUUACCCGCAGAAGAAGCACCGGCUAACUCCGUGCCAGCAGCCGCGGUAAUACGGAGGGUGCAAGCGUUAAUCGGAAUUACUGGGCGUAAAGCGCACGCAGGCGGUUUGUUAAGUCAGAUGUGAAAUCCCCGGGCUCAACCUGGGAACUGCAUCUGAUACUGGCAAGCUUGAGUCUCGUAGAGGGGGGUAGAAUUCCAGGUGUAGCGGUGAAAUGCGUAGAGAUCUGGAGGAAUACCGGUGGCGAAGGCGGCCCCCUGGACGAAGACUGACGC